rnacentral:rRNA from 1 species
CCCCUUGGGGGAAUUUUCCGCAAUGGGCGAAAGCCUGACGGAGCAAUACCGCGUGAGGGAGGAAGGCUCUUGGGUUGUAAACCUCUUUUCUCAGGGAAUAAAAAAAUGAAGGUACCUGAGGAAUCAGCAUCGGCUAACUCCGUGCCAGCAGCCGCGGUAAUACGGAGGAUGCAAGCGUUAUCCGGAAUGAUUGGGCGUAAAGGGUCUGCAGGUGGUUUGUCAAGUCUGCUGUCAAAGCGUCUGGCUCAACUAGAUAAAGGCAGUGGAAACUGAGAGACUGGAGUAUGGUAGGGGUAGAGGGAAUUCCCGGUGUAGCGGUGAAAUGCGUAGAGAUCGGGAAGAACACCGGUGGCGAAAGCGCUCUGCUGGACCAUAACUGACACUGAGAGACGAAUGUU